AAACUUGAGAGUUUGAUCCUGGCUCAGAACGAACGCUGGCGGCAUGCUUUAUACAUGCAAGUCGAACGGACAAUUUAGAAGCUUGCUUUUGAAUUGUUAGUGGCAAACGGGUGAGUAACAUGUGGGAACCUGCCUAUUAGUAGGGAAUAACUUAUGGAAACAUAAGCUAAUACCUUAUAACCUCUAAGGAGGAAAGAUUUAUCGCUAAUAGAUGGGCCCGCACAAGAUUAGGUAGUUGGUAGGGUAAUGGCCUACCAAGCCGACGAUCUUUAGCUGGUCUGAGAGGAUGAUCAGCCACACUGGGACUGAGAUACGGCCCAGACUCCUACGGGAGGCAGCAGUAGGGAAUAUUGGACAAUGGACGAAAGUCUGAUCCAGCAAUGCCGCGUGAAUGAUGAAGGCCUUAGGGUUGUAAAGUUCUUUUAGUAGGGAAGAUAAUGACUGUACCUACAGAAAAAGCCCCGGCUAACUCCGUGCCAGCAGCCGCGGUAAGACGGAGGGGGCUAGUGUUGUUCGGAAUUACUGGGCGUAAAGGGCGCGUAGGCGGAUUAGUAAGUUAGAAGUUAAAGACCAGGGCUCAACCUUGGGAAUGCUUUUAAUACUGCUAGUCUAGAGUGAAGUAGGGGGUAACGGAAUUCCUAGUGUAGAGGUGAAAUUCUUAGAUAUUAGGAGGAACACCAGUGGCGAAGGCGGUUACCUGGGCUUUUACUGACGCUGAGGCGCGAAAGCGUGGGGAGCAAACAGGAUUAGAUACCCUGGUAGUCCACGCUGUAAACGAUGAGUGCUAGAUGUCGGGAGAAUUUUCUCUCGGUUUCAAAGCUAACGCGUUAAGCACUCCGCCUGGAGACUACGAUCGCAAGAUUAAAAUUCAAAGGAAUUGACGGGGGCUCGCACAAGUGGUGGAGCAUGCGGUUUAAUUCGAUGCUACGCGAAAAACCUUACCAACUCUUGACAUGGUGGUCGCGGAUAUGGAGACAUAUCUUUCAGUUCGGCUGGACCACACACAGGUGUUGCACGGCUGUCGUCAGCUCGUGUCGUGAGAUGUUGGGUUAAGUCCCGCAACGAGCGAAACCCUCAUCCUUAUUUGCCAGCGAGUAAUGUCGGGAACUAUAAGGAAACUGCCGGUGAUAAGCCGGAGGAAGGUGGGGACGACGUCAAGUCAUCAUGGCCCUUAUGAGUUGGGCUACACGCGUGCUACAAUGGUGCUUACAGAGGGCAGCUAUAUGGCAACAUAAUGCUAAUCCUUAAAAAGCAUCUCAGUUCGGAUUGUUCUCUGCAACUCGAGAACAUGAAGUAGGAAUCACUAGUAAUCGCGGAUCAGCAUGCCGCGGUGAAUACGUUCCCGGGCCUUGUACACACUGCCCGUCACGCCAUGGGAGUUAGGCAUACCUUAAGUUGGUGAGCUAACCUUUUAGGAGGCAGCCAACCACGGUAAGUUUAGCGACUGGGGUGAAGUCGUAACAAGGUAGCCGUAGGUGAACCUGCGGCUGGAUUACCUCUAGA
rnacentral:rRNA from 1 species